rnacentral:rRNA from 1 species
GAUCUUAAAUCCCUGCAUCGAACGCCCGCGGCGGCUAGGAAUGUGACCUUAGGAUGGGCGGAGCCACCCACCAAGUUUAAGAAUAUCAAUAAGCGGAGGAGAAUAAUUGUAGUCUGGAGAAGGGUCCUCAGCAACGGAUUGGGCCCAAGUCCCCUGGAAGGAAGCACCGAGGAGGGUGAGAGCUCUGUUCGGCCCUAACCCUGCCACAACACAAGGCGCUAUCGGCAAGUCAGGCUGUUUGGAAAUGCAGCCCUAAUAGAGCGAUAAAUUUCGUCCAAGGCUAAAUAUAGACAAGAGGCCAAUAGCGAACAAGUACCACGAGGGAAAGAUGAAAAGGACUUUGAAAAAAGAGUCAAAAUGUGCUUAAAAUUGCUGGGAGGGAAGCAGACAGGGGCUGGCGGUGCCCCUCGGCCUGAAGCGGAAUGGAUGCAUCUGGCUUGUGGCUCUACUCAAGGUGCGGAUAGUUACAGGCCAGCCCGACGGCAAGAGUAUUGGCGAUUGUUGCCCGAGAAGACACCGACACGACGGCCUUGGAAAAUAGCGCGCACCGGCUCGAUGUGCCCCUUUGAGGGCUCCAGUGCACUCGUUGCAACAACCUGUGGGCUCCCUAUUCGACCCUUCUUGAAACACGGACCAAGGAGCCUGACAUGCUUACGAGUCGACUGGAGUCAAAGCCCAAUGGGCCAAGGAAGCUGAUGCGUGGGAUCCUCUAGGAAGGUGCACCGCCGGCUGACCUUGAUCUUUUUGUGAAGGGUUCAGGUGAGAUCAUGUGCAUUGGGACCUAAAAGAUGGUCAACUAUACCUGAGCAGGGUAAAUCUAGUAGAAACUCUAGUGGAGGCCCAUAGUGAUACUAACGUGCAAAUCAUUAGUCUGACUCGGGUAUAGGGGCAAGAGACUAAUUAAGCCAUCUAGUAGCUAGUUCCCUACAAAGUUUCCCUCAAGAUAGCUGGAGCUUCAGACGGAGUUCUAUCGGGCAAAGCCAGUGAUUAGAGGCAUCGGGGGCAUAACACCCAUGACCUAUUCACAAACUUUAAAUAGAUAGGACGGCCCGACUGCUACAUUGAGCUGAGCCGUAGGAUCAAGGGCUCCAAGUGGGUCAUUUUUGGUUUGUAGAAUUGACGAUGCGGGAUGAAUCGGAGGCCGGGUUAUGGUGCCCAAGUGCAUGCUAACCUAAAACCACAAAGGGUGUUGGUUGAUUAAGAUGGUAGGAUGGUGUUCAUGGAAGUCAAAAUUCGUUAAGGAGUGUGUAACAACUCACUUGCCGAGUGAACUAGCCCCGAAAAUGAAUGGUGCUAAAGCGUGCGACCCACACCCGGCCAUCGGGGCAAUGGCCGGGCCUGGAUCAAUUGAAGGGUGUGGUGGCCACCGGAAAACUCAGGGCGCAAGCUCGUACAGAGCGGCCAUUGGUAUGGAUCUUGGUGGUAGUAGAAAAUAUUUAAAUGAGAACUUUGAAGGCCGAAGGGGGAAAAUAUUCCAUGUGAAUGACACUUACACAUGGAUUAGCCGAUCCUAAGAGACUAGGGAGGCUCAUAAAAUAGUGCUGGUUUGUGCGAGCUUUGAAAAUGAGUUGGGUUUAAAUUAUUGAGCUGGAAUGUGGCGGUUGACAACAACGUUAGGUAGUCCGGAGAUGCCCGCGGGGGCCUCGGGAAUAAUUAUCUUCUCUGCUUAAUAGUCUGCCUGCCCUGGAAGCUGCUCAGCUUGACGUAGGGCCUAGCGGCUCAAAGAGGGCCGCACGUUGAGCGACGUCCAGUGCGUCCCUGGCAGCCCUUGAAAAUUUGGAGGGCUGAGUGUUGUGCACGGCCAGUCAUACGUAUAACUGCAUCAAGACUCCAAGGUGAACAGCCUAUAGUUAAUGGAGCAAUAUAGGCAAGGGAAGUCGGCAAAAUAGACCCAUAACUUCGGGAAAAGCAUUGGAUCUAAUGGUUGGGCUUGGGGAUCCCAGUCCCGAAUCCAUCAGCUGUCAGCAAACUACUUGUGCUACGUCUGUGGAGAAAGCGGGUCGUCGCGUUCUGGCUAGGAGACGGAUUGGGAAUUGCACCAUGGGGCUUCCCCGGGCAUCGAAAAACUGACUCAGAACUGGUACGCUCAAGGGGAAUCCGACUGCUUAAUUAAAAUAAAGCAUUGCGAUGGUCCCAGCGGAUGCUCACGCAAUGUGAUUUCUGCCCAGUUCUCUGAAUGUCAAAGUGAAGAAAUUCAACUAGGCACGGAUAAACUGUGAGAGUAACUAUGACUCUCUUAAGGUAGUCAAAUGCCUCGUCAUCUAAUUAGUGACACACAUGAAUGGAUUAAUGAGAAUCUCAUUGUCCCUAUCUACUAUCCAGUGAAACCACUGCCAAUGUAACAGGCUUGAUAGAAUCAACAAAGAAAGAAGACCUUAUUAAGCUUGACUCUAGUCCAACAUUGUUAAAUGACUUGAGAGGUGUAGGAUAAGUGGGAGUUGGCUCGUCGGCGGAUGCGAGAAAACCACUACUUUUAAUAUUAUUUUACUUAUUCUAUGAGACGGAGGUGCGGCGUUGCCCCUCCAUUUGGCUAUCAAGUCCUUCUACGGCGGGUCGAUUCGGGCGGAAGACAUUGUUAGGUGGGGAGUUUGGUUGGGGCAGCACAUCUGUUAAAAGAUAAUGUAGGUGUCCAAAGAUGAGCUCAACGAGAAAAAAAAUCUCGUGUGGAACAAAAGGGUAAGAGCUUGUUUAAUUCUGAUUUCCAAUGCGAAUAUGAACCGUGAAAGCGUGGCCUAUCGAACCUUUAGUUAUUCGGAGUUUGGAGCUAGAGGUGUCAGAAAAGUUACCACAUGGAUAACUGGCCUGUGGCAGCCAAGCGUUCAUAGUGACGUUGCUUUUUGAUCAUUCAAUGUCAGCUCUUCCUAUCAUAGUAAAGCAGAAUUCACCAAAUGUUGAAUUGUUCACCCAUCAAUAGGGAAUGUGAGCCGGGUUUAGACUAUCGUGAGACAGGUUAGUUUUACCCUUCUGAUGAUCGUACCGCAUUAAUAAUUCAACCCCGUACGAGAGGAACCAUUGAUUCACACAAUUGGUCAUCGCUCUUGGUUGAAAAGCUAGUGGCGCAAAGCUACCGUGUGCAGGAUUAUGACUGAACGCCUCUAAUUGGUAUGGCCUGCACAGUUUAACUAAGGCGAGGCAGGGCAAUGUUCCCAGCGGAUAUCCGGU